UUUCGGCACGUGUUUUUCCUGAAUGCGUCCUAUAUUCUCAGCGUAUCAUCCUGGGUAAUAACAGGCUUUGCUCUGUGCUUCUCUUAAGAGCUGGUCAUGGCAAUAAUAACAAGAAGAAAAGGGAAAUGGUUCAACACAUUGUUCAGCGAUCUUUUAGAUUUCACUGAGCAGAUGACAUGAGUGACAGAAAUUGAGAGAGUGCAGCGUAUGCAGGCCUGGCAUACAGCAAGCCUGCAGGAAAGGUAAGCAAAGCUAUCAAAUACAUUUUGUAUAAGCGCUUCUUCGGUUGGAAUGAUUUUUGAAGUUUUUUAGGCCUGCAGGUUAAUGUCCCAGGAACAUGUCGAUGUGGCUGAGAAGCAAGACCAUGAACCUGGAAGAUAGAGACAGACAGGUUCUCUGGGGAGCGGAGAUGAAACUAAACAGGUUAAGAGCUUCACCUGUCACAGAUGAACUACCUCUGCAUUGAAGGCGGAUGUGGAAAAAAGACAGGAUCCACUGGCAAGAACUUCCAAAUGUGCUGGUGUCAUAUCAAUACUGAAAGCCUGUCAACCUCAGGUUGGGGACCCUGGGACUGAAGAAGAAAUUCAUUUAGACAUAUAGCCUGACCAAUUUGAAAGGCUAAACCUGGAGGACCAUUGAAAUUUCUAGAUUCUAAAUGAACUAGAAUCAUGAUCUGGCUAAUGGAAAACAUUUUGAGGAAAGAGAUUCUGUCUCAGUGUUUACCCGUGUUGGCCAACAGGAACACGAUCUAACCUAUGAACAGUUCAGAUAGAUUUCACCAUUGCAUUCUGUCCUGAUUUCUCUGCCCUUUUCAAUGUCUCUCUCCCCCCACCCUCUGCCUAUAUAGUUCUACUGUGUCUGUCUCUGUGGUUUGCAUACAUUUGUUAUAUUUUCCUGCUGAGGGCAUAGCUGUAGCUGAGUGACUUUGUAAAGAAUGGUCAGUCACCCAUCAUCCUAUUUAACAGAAUCACUCAACAGCAUUAAAAUGCUGAAGGCAUUUAGCCGGCUGUCGUGAAAACUGUUGUGGCUAUUGGGAAACCUUUCUGAUCCUGCUAGCCGCAAGCCCUUCAGUGGAUUGUUUACAGAGCCACUUUUGAGGGACAUUUAUUUUACAAGUAAAAUAUGUCUUAAGCUACAGAUUCAAUAAUUAAAUGGAACAUCUUCCUUCCCCUGUCUCCCCAUCCCCACUUCUUACGUAUCUCCCCAUCUUCGAUUUGCUGGCUAUAGGGAAAAAUUAAUCCAAUGUAAAUUUCACAAAAGUUUUGAAAGAUAUGCUUUACUUUGUGUAGUAACCAUGACAAAAGAUGUUGCAAAGAGCUGCAACUUUCUAGAGUCUGUUCAUGUCAUUGGGAUAAACACACUUGCUGUUGUGUCAAAACACACGUAAGUAUACAACUAUGAUUAGGUGGUGAAUAUUUGAUGAAUCACCUGUGCAGGUUUCUUUCUUUCAAAAAUAAUGCUCCAUUACCCUGAUAUUUAUGGUCUUACAAUAUACCUGCUUACAUAAAUACUCAUAAUGUAGCAUAAGAAGGGAUGCUCCACUGUGCGUAACAUAAAAUCAUAUGAUAGAAAGUCAAAGUAUAAAUCAAUAUUGUAUGUAUUGAUCCUAAGAGAAACAGGAGAAUCUAGAAAUAGUUAUGCAUAUUGAAGGGCCACUUAGUGAGAGUUAAAUUCUUAAUGAGUGCUUAUGUUCAAUUGAUUUUAAUGGGUCUUGUGUGCUUAACUUUCUCUGGAUUGUAUUCAUUAUGGGGUAGGAAGUUAAAUUAUUUUAAAUAAUCAUGAGUGAAUCUUAGUCCCUUUGUUUUCUAUUCAAGUUGUAAACAAACAAGAAGCUCAAAAUGGUCACAUGCUCUUCUUCCAGGUUAAUCUGGCAAAAACUAGAGUAAAUACAAAACAUGAAACUGUCCUAUGCUGAAUCAGGUACUGUUCCCAAGAAACAAGUAUUAUUCUUCUGAACCCCAGUGGCUAUCUAUGAUCUUUAGUAGGGUUAUUUCUAGACCGCAACACUUGGAAUUCUCAGAACUUGAGAUUGAAUCUGGGAGCUGUACUGUGCUACUGAGUUACAUGCCAUAUGAGAGAUUUGAAGCCUAGCAGAUGACGAGUUAUUUCAAAUGCAUAUUAGAUGAACUCCAGCCUUAUUCCAUUUACAUUACUGUAUUCUGCUCAUUUCUUCUUACUCUACCAUUGUCUUCUUCUUCUAGACCACCUCUUUCACCCCAACUAAACAUAUUGUGGCAUGCUGCCUAAAGGUCUCAUUCCCCCUGUUCUAGGCUACUCUUCCAUUACCUCCCAUUCACAAUAUCCUUCUUCAUGCCUUACUGCUUCUGUAGGAUCAGCAUCAGUAUAUGGCAGAAUGAAAAAAACCAGAGAGAAUCUAGAAAGGCUAAACAUGCUCUACUAUACUAUGACAUGGCAGCAGCUCAGUCAGCCUACUGGAGCCCCCGGUGGUGCAAUGGGUUAAACCCUGUGCUGGCAGACUACUGCCCAACAGGUCAGCAGUUUGAAUCUGGGAAGAGAGGGUUGAGCUCCCUCUGUCAACUCUAGUUUCUCAUGCAGUGACAUGAGAGAAGCCUCCCACAAGGAUGGUAAAACAUCAAACAUUCGGGUGUCCCCUGGGCAACGUCCUUGCAGAUGGCCAAUUCUCUCACAACAGAAGUGAUUUGCAGUUUCUCAAGUUGCUCCUGACAUGAAAAAAGUCAAUCUACUUAUUAGGUAAAGGUAAAGGUUGUCCCCUGACAUUAAGUCUAGUCGCGUCUGACUCUGAGGGUUGGCGCUCAUCUCCAUUUCUAAGCUGAAGAGCUGGUGUUGUCCGUAGACAUCUCCAAGGUCAUGUGGCUGGCAUGACUGCAUGGAGCACCCUUAACUUCCCACCAGAGCAGUACCUAUUGAUUUACUCACAUUUACAUGUUUUCAAGCUGCUAGGUUAGCAGAAGCUGGGGCUGACAGCAGAAGCUCACGCCGCUGACUCGAACCUGCAACCUAUUGGUCAACAAGCUCAGCAGCUCAGCGGUUUAACCUACUGCACCACCGGGGGCUCCCUAAUGUACUUAUUACCCAGUGCAUUACAAGUGGAUUUUGGCUGCUGGCUUCCAUGUCAGGUGAAUGGUGAAUGCACGCUGGGUUCCAGACUUUAAAAGACUUAUUCAAGUUGAUAAAUAUAUUUUUAUGGGGGGCAAUAGGGCUCGGAACAUUGGAUAAUAUCUUUAAAACAUAUAUUAAAUCCCAGAGGUGAUUCACUCUAGCCUUGAUCUGGAAGCCCCUGGCCAUCACUGAUUUCCCUCCCUGAAAAUGUGCAUAUUCACAUCAUUUCAUAUAGAGAUAAUUUCCUUCCUUUCUUACGGAAGGUCCCAAUAAAAAUCAAACACUGGCACAUGUAAUAAUGAGUGAAAUCACAACAACCUAGAGAUUGACCCUCAUGUCUCUGGAGAAGUUGGGCUUCAUAGUGUAACCAAAUUGAAUUCCUGAGAUGCUUAGCACACAGCUGCACAGUAAAUAUAAGUCCAAGUGAAUAAUUAUGCUCAGUGCAAAUGUGUGUAAUAUGGGAAGGGAUAAAAGUUAUUUGUAUGUGAGCGGGUGGUCUUGAGGGACAAUGCAUACCAGGGGCAGCCUAGAAUGAUGUUAAUGGUUCAAGAUUUCAUCCAUUCAUGUUUGCUGAGGACAAGGGAAAAAUAAUAAAAAAGUAAAAAUGAAUUUGCCAAGUGACAGAAGUAUGAAUGGAAUUCUGAAUGAUUUGAAAAAUAAAAAAAAUAGAAAGUCAAGGAAGUUAAUUAAAGAUUCUGGACCAUUGAAGAGCUAGCAAGCAGGGAUAACAGUGAGUGAAAACCUCAAUUAAAACUUGCUAAAUCAGUAAAUAAGGGGUGAAAGAUUGAUAACAUGUCUCAUACCUCAAUAUCUACCAUGGAGAAAAAGUCUUAGCAUUCUGAUAGAACAGGAGUUCCCAAAUGUUGCUCUUCCAGAUGUUUUAGACUUCAGUUCCCAGAAUUCCUGACAAUUGGCCAAGCUAGCUGGGGCUUCUUGUAGUGCAAAAUACCUGUUAUAGAUGGAGCCCUAUCCAGAACAAAGACUCUUGAUCUUCUAAAAGUAUGAGUUAUUCAUGAAAGUAUAAUUAAAUAUGUGCUUCUUUCAGCCACAAUAAAACAAACAGAAAUAAGUGUAUGUUUGAAGUUUAUUUUGUGUAUAAAAGCACUGAAAUAUUUGAGAAGGACAAGGAAGGCUGAUUCAGCCAUCUUGGCUUGAUUUUCUGUAGUCCUCCAUGACUGUAUACAUCAUCUUGAGAUGUGUUGUUUUUUAACAGGAAUGUCUCAUCCCUAGGAAAUUUGAGAGCUAUGACAUGUGCUCCAUAGAGAUAUGGUUGGCUCAGGCACUGCAGCGUUUUCAGCACUAUAACAAAACUUUUGUGUGGCUAACUUGAGUUAUGAUGGUUUUUAUUUUGUACAGCUAAUUGUUUAUGUUUUUUUGUACUCUCCCACCCCUGAAAUGUAUAAUAAACAUUGAGUCAACAUAAAUGAUAACUCAUGCAAAGAACUAUUACCAGUGGAGAAGAGGUUGAUCCAGAAAUAUGCUGAGCCUUUGAUUCUAAGUUGGUAAUGUUUGGAAAUGCUGACUUAGCUUCUAGCAUCUAGGGAAGUCAUAGGUUUUUCUUUUUCUGGUAAAUUUGCUAAAUAAUUGUGACUAGUUUUUUGGGUUAUGAACAUCAUUUUACACUAUAUUUUAAAGGCUGUGCAGCCUCUACGUGUCUGACUCUUUGAAGUAUUUUUAGAUAUAAAUGUACUAGCUGGUGUACCUGCAUGAUGUGUUUUAGAUUUUCUCACAAUUGGUUUUCAGUUCAUGUCUUUUGGCUAGUGAAAAAGUCUCUUAGCCUAGUGCAUCAAUAU